GACUGAUUAGCUCAACUGUAUAGAGCAAUGGUCUCCUACACCAUAGGUUGAGGGUUAGAAUCCCUCAUCAGUCA
rnacentral:tRNA from 1 species